ensembl:snRNA U2 U2 spliceosomal RNA
AUAGCUUUUCAGCCUUUUGGCUAAGAUCAAGUAUAGUUACGUUUUUAUCAGUUUAAUAUCUAGAAUGUCUUCUAUCCAAAGACAAUUUUUUUUUUUUUUGAGAUGGAUUUUCGCUCUUGUUGCCCAGGCUAGAGUGCAAUGGCAUGAUCUCGGCUCACCACAACCUCCGCCUCCCGGGUUCAAAGA